UUGCUUGCUUUGGCAGCACAUUGACUAAAACUGGAAUAAUACAGAGAAGAUUAGCAUGGCCCCUGCUCAAGGAUGACAUGCAAAACUGGGAAGUGUUACAUAUUUAA
ensembl:snRNA U6 U6 spliceosomal RNA